ACGGAAGGCAGCAGUGGGGAAUAUUGGGCAAUGGGCGAAAGCCUGACCCAGCGACGCCGCGUGAGGGAAGAAGGUCUUCGGAUUGUAAACCUCUUUCAGCAGGGAAGAUAAUGACGGUACCUGACGAAUAAGCAACGGCUAACUACGUGCCAGCAGCCGCGGUAAUACGUAGGUUGCAAGCGUUGUCCGGAUUUACUGGGUGUAAAGGGCGUGUAGGCGGAGCUGCAAGUCAGAUGUGAAAUCCCGGGGCUCAACCCCGGAACUGCAUUUGAAACUGUAGCCCUUGAGUAUCGGAGAGGCAAGCGGAAUUCCUAGUGUAGCGGUGAAAUGCGUAGAUAUUAGGAGGAACACCAGUGGCGAAGGCGGCUUGCUGGACGACAACUGACGCUGAGGCGCGAAAGCGUGGGGAGCAAACAGGAUUAGAUACCCUGGUA
rnacentral:rRNA from 1 species